AACCUGCUCAAACUGAGACACCCACUGC
rnacentral:piRNA from 1 species